rnacentral:rRNA from 1 species
CCUACGGGUGGCUGCAGUGGGGAAUAUUGGACAAUGGGGGGAACCCUGAUCCAGCCAUGCCGCGUGUGUGAAGAAGGCCCUUGGGUUGUAAAGCACUUUCAGUGAGGAAGAACGCCUGGUGGUUAAUACCCAUCAGGAAAGACAUCACUCACAGAAGAAGCACCGGCUAACUCCGUGCCAGCAGCCGCGGUAAUACGGAGGGUGCGAGCGUUAAUCGGAAUUACUGGGCGUAAAGCGCGCGUAGGUGGCUUGAUAAGCCGGUUGUGAAAGCCCCGGGCUCAACCUGGGAACGGCAUCCGGAACUGUCAAGCUAGAGUGCAGGAGAGGAAGGUAGAAUUCCCGGUGUAGCGGUGAAAUGCGUAGAGAUCGGGAGGAAUACCAGUGGCGAAGGCGGCCUUCUGGACUGACACUGACACUGAGGUGCGAAAGCGUGGGUAGCAAACAGGAUUAGAUACCCCUGUAGUC